AACUAGUAUAGCGGCUGUAACCACAUGACACAUCUGACUGUAAGGUUGAUUUUAUCUAAACCUUUCUAUAUAAAAUGACCCUUAUAUGUUUUUCGCGUAGUCCUUGAACGGGCGUAACACACAAUCGUACCCACAGGUGUGAAGUUGUUUCGAACUAUUAGCAAUGACGCUAAAUAUUUGUGGUUACGUUUGUGCCUUCUGUCCAUUCAGAGUUUGCGAUGUGCACGUGGACUAUGUUCUCCUGCUUUUUAAUUGUUUUUUGUGGAAAUUUGUGAUAUUUGAAUAAAAUAAGAUGUCUAAAAGAAAUAUUUUGGAUUGAUGAUUAGGAAUUUGAGGCCAUGAUGACAGGAAUCGAUGAUAGUCGGGCUGAAGAUUCUGAUAUUGGUGGUGAUUCGGAUCCUGAGGAGAAUCUUCCUUUGAAUCCCGUUAGCUUACUUUUCAUGUGAAUUAGUUAUGUAAGAAUUGUAUUUGUGUACAAGAGAGAGAGACUGAAAACUUUAUUCCACUCUGAAGACAAAUUCAAAGACUGCCUAAUGCAAAAAGGUUGUUGAUUUUGCAUGUAUUAUACUAGAAAUAGUAAAUAUAAUAAUUUGAUUUCCUAAAUAA